rnacentral:rRNA from 1 species
AGGAUGAACGCUGGCGGCGUGCCUAACACAUGCAAGUCGAACGUCCUGUCUCGCAAGAGGCAGGGAGUGGCGGACGGGUGAGUACCACGUGGGUCAUCUACCGUGAGGUGAGGAAUACCGGCGAGAAAUCGCCGACAAGACCGCAUAGGCUCGAUGCAAGUCGAGCAAAGCUCUUUCGAGAGAGGGAGCGCCACACGAGGGGCCUGCGCCCGAUUAGCUAGCUGGUGGAGUAACGGUUCACCAGGGCGACGAUCGGUAGCUGGUCUGAGAGGACGAUCAGCCACACUGGGAUUGAGAACGGCCCAGACUCCUACGGGGGGCAGCAGUGAGGAAUUUUCGUCAAUGGGGGCAACCCUGAACGAGCAACGCCGCGUGCAGGAAGAAGGUUUCGGAUCGUAAACUGCUUUUCUCGGGGAAGAGAAUGGACGGUACCCGAGGAAUCAGCCCCGGCUAACUACGUGCCAGCAGCCGC